ACGUAAGUGUCAGUAAAAAAGGGAGAUAGCCUCAGCGUAAGUGUCAGUAAAAAAGCGAGAUGCAAGAUGGAGAAUGGAAGAUGAGCGAAAACAUUAGGGAUGCAAAAACAUCGAUGUCACUAUCGAUACUAUCGAUGUUUUUUAAAACAGCGAUGUAUCGAUGCUUUUUUUCGAACAUCGAUGUUAUCACUAAGAGAUACACACGCAAAGCAAGUGUUUGAUACAGGUAAAACAUAUUAGGGCGGUUCCUCUCGGCACAAUGGACAGGUUUCUGCACAUAACAAUGCGCGUUAAAAUAUUUAUGUAUACCUGCGACAUCUACUGACUCGGAAAGGACUUUCAGCAAGGCAGGACAAAUCGCGGACGAAAAGAGAUCUCGACUUAAACCUAAAACUUUGAACAUGCUGUUGUUUUUACAGAAAAACCAGUGGAUUAUUAGUUAAGAUAUAGAUAUCGAUUAGAUAAGUAAGAUAAGUAAGAACUGAACUGAACUGAACUGAACUGAACUGAAGUGAACUGAACUGAAAUAAUGUGAUUCCAUUUUUCUUUAUGAUUUCGUUAAAAUAUGUAUUAAGAUUAUGCUUUUUUAUUUGUUUCUGAAAAUAUUGUUGUUGUUUUGUUUGAAUAAAUAUAAGUUUAUAAUAA